GUGCCUGCUUUGGCAGCACAUAUAGAAAAAUUUGAAGGAUACAGAAAACAUUAGCAUGGCCCCUAUGCAAAGAUAACGCACAAAUUUUUGAAGCUUUCCAUAGUUUC
ensembl:snRNA U6 U6 spliceosomal RNA